rnacentral:rRNA from 1 species
GAUGAACGCUGGCGGCGUGCCUAAUACAUGCAAGUCGAGCGAACAGACGAUGAGCUUGCGCCUCUGACGUUAGCGGCGGACGGGUGAGUAACACGUGGAUAACCUACCUAUAAUACUGGGAUAACUUCGGGAAACCGGAUCUAAUACCGGAUAAUAUAUUGAACCGCAUGGUUCAAUAGUGAAAGACGGUUUUGCUGUCACUUAUAGCUGGUUCCGCGUCGCAUUAGCUAGUUGGUAAGGUAACGGCUUACCAAGGCGACGAUGCGUAGCCGACCUGAGAGGGUGAUCGGCCACACUGGAACUGAGACACGGUCCAGACUCCUACGGGAGGCAGCAGUAGGGAAUCUUGCGCAAUGGGCGAAAGCCUGACGGAGCAACGCCGCGUGAGUGAUGAAGGUCUUCGGAUCGUAAAGCUCUGUUAUUAGGGAAGAACAGAUGUGUAAGUAACUAUGCACGUCUUGACGGUACCUAAUCAGAAAGCCACGGCUAACUACGUG